rnacentral:rRNA from 1 species
UACGUAGGGUGCGAGCGUUGUCCGGAAUUACUGGGCGUAAAGAGCUCGUAGGUGGUUUGUCGCGUUGUUCGUGAAAACUCACAGCUCAACUGUGGGCGUGCGGGCGAUACGGGCAGACUGGAGUACUGCAGGGGAGACUGGAAUUCCUGGUGUAGCGGUGGAAUGCGCAGAUAUCAGGAGGAACACCGGUGGCGAAGCGGGUCUCUGGGCAGUAACUGACGCUGGAGGAGCGAAAGCGUGGGGAGCGAACAGG